rnacentral:rRNA from 1 species
CUACGGGGCGCUGCAGUUAGGUAUAAUCUACAAUGCGCGCAAGCGUGACAGUUUGAGCCAGAGUGCGUUUCUAUUGAAAUGCUUUUGUGAAAUGUAAAAAGUUUCACGAAUAAGGACUGGGUAAGACAAGUGCCAGCCGCCGCGGUAAUACUUGCGGUCCAAGUCGCAGCCAUUUUUUAUUGGGUCUAAAACAUCCGUAGCUUGUUUGAUAAGUUUCUUGUGAAAUAUUAUGUCUUAAACAUAAUGCGUGCAAGAAGUACUGUCAAGCUAGAGACAGGGAGACGUAAAGAGUACGUUUGGAGUAAUGGUAAAAUAUUUUAAUCUCAGACGGACUAACAAUUAGCGAAGGCACUUUACGAGAACUGUUCUGACAGUAAGGGAUGAAGGCUAGGGGCGCAAAAGGGAUUAGAUACCCGAGUAGUC